GGGGUCGUACAUAUGAUGCUGUCCGCAGCUGGAGUAUUUUAUUACCCUUGUCUUUUGCGCACUUGUUGUUUCCUGGGCGGGUUCGCUCGCCACCAGGACCACCAAAUAAACCUUUUUUAUGCAGUUGCAAUCAGCGUCAGUACAAACAAUGUAAAUCAUUUACAACUUUCAACAACGGAUCUCUUGGUUCUGGCAUCGAUGAAGAACGCAGCGAAAUGCGAUACGUAGUGUGAAUUGCAGAAUUCAGUGAAUCAUCGAAUCUUUGAACGCACAUUGCGCCCUUUGGUAUUCCAAAGGGCAUGCCUGUUCGAGCGUCAUUUGUACCCUCAAGCUUUGCUUGGUGUUGGGCGUUUUUGUCUUUGGUCGCCCAAAGACUCGCCUUAAAGUGAUUGGCAGCCGGCCUUUCUGGUUUCGCAGCGCAGCACAUUUUUGCGCUUGCCAUCAGCAAAACGGCAAUCCAUCAAGCCUCCUUCUCACGUUUGACCUCGGAUCAGGUAGGGAUACCCGCUGAACUUAAGCAUAUCAUAAACCCGGAAGGAA
rnacentral:rRNA from 1 species